rnacentral:misc_RNA from 1 species
GAUGAAGAACGUAGCGAAAUGCGAUAACUAGUGUGAAUUGCAGAAUUCCGUGAAUCAUCGAGUCUUUGAACGCACAUUGCGCCCCCUGGUAUUCCGGGGGGCAUGCCUGUCCGAGCGUCAUUGCUGCCCAUCAAGCACGGCUUGUGUGUUGGGUCGUCGUCCCCCCCUCCGGGGGGGGACGGGCCCUAAAGGCAGCGGCGGCACCGCGUCCGAUCCUCGAGCGUAUGGGGCUUUGUCACCCGCUCUGUAGGCCCGGCCGGCGCUUGCCGAACGCAAAACAACCAUUCUUUCCAGGUUGACCUCGGAUCAGGUAGGGAUACCCGCUGAACUUAAGCAUAUCAAUAAGCGAGGA